rnacentral:rRNA from 1 species
AGAGUUUGAUCCUGGCUCAGGAUAAACGCUGGCGGCGCACAUAAGACAUGCAAGUCGAACGGACCAAAAUGCAUUGUUUACAUUGCAAGAGGUUAGUGGCGGGACUGGUGAGUAACACGUAAGCAACCUGCCUAGAANAGGGGAAUAACACUGAGAAAUCAGUGCUAAUACCGCAUAAGCUAGUAGUACCGCAUGGUAUAGCUAGAAAAGGAGCAAUCCGCUUUUAGAUGGGCUUGCGUCUGAUUAGCUAGUUGGUGGGGUAAAAGCCUACCAAGGCAACGAUCAGUAGCCGGACUGAGAGGUUGAACGGCCACAUUGGGACUGAGAUACGGCCCAGACUCCUACGGGAGGCAGCAGUCGGGAAUAUUGCGCAAUGGAGGAAACUCUGACGCAGUGACGCCGCGUAUAGGAAGAAGGUUUUCGGAUUGUAAACUAUUGUCGUUAGGGAAGAAAAGGACAGUACCUAAGGAGGAAGCCCCGGCUAACUAUGUGCC